UACGAAGGGGGCUAGCGUUGCUCGGAAUCACUGGGCGUAAAGCGCACGUAGGCGGACUCUUAAGUCGGUGGUGAAAUCCUGGAGCUCAACUCCAGAACUGCCUUUGAUACUGGCGACCUUGAGUCCGGGAGAGGUGAGUGGAACUGCGAGUGUAGAGGUGAAAUUCGUAGAUAUUCGCAAGAACACCAGUGGCGAAGGCGGCUCACUGGCCCGGUACUGACGCUGAGGUGCGAAAGCGUGGGGAGCAAACAGG
rnacentral:rRNA from 1 species